rnacentral:SRP_RNA from 1 species
GCCAGGUGUGGUGGCGGGCACCUGUAGUCCCAGCUACUCGGGAGGCUGAGACAGGAGAAUUGCUUGAACCCAGGAGGUGGAGGUUGCAGUGAGCCAAGAUCCCGCCAUUACACUCCAGCCUGGGUAACAGAGCAAGACUCUGUCUCAA